rnacentral:rRNA from 1 species
UACAGAGGUCUCAAGCGUUGUUCGGAUUCAUUGGGCGUAAAGGGUGCGUAGGCGGCGCGGUAAGUCGGGUGUGAAAUCUCGGGGCUUAACUCCGAAACUGCAUUCGAUACUGCCGUGCUUGAGGACUGGAGAGGAGACUGGAAUUUACGGUGUAGCGGUGAAAUUCGUAGAUAUCGGGAGGAACACCAGUGGCGAAGGCGGAGACCUGGGCCAAUACUGACGCUGAGGUGCGAAAGCGUGGGGAGCAAACAGGG